GGUCCGUGAGGAGUGUUGGCAUGUAUUAUCUGCUCUGAAAUUAAUAUUUAUCACCAUUUUAGCUCAAAAAUUACUCUGAGAACCA
ensembl:snoRNA small nucleolar RNA SNORD45